UUUCCCUACAGCUGUCCUUGGGCCAGCUCAGCCAGUUCUCCAGCCACCCGCAGGUGCUGGCUGGCCUGCUUACUGCCAGGCCUAGUCUCCCCGCCUGCCAACCUACCCCAAGCAGCACAGACCAAGGUUUCUGGUUACUGAUGGGCUUCCAGGGCCUGGGGUGAAGUUGGCAGAGUCAGGCCACCGAGAACUGUCUAAGAGGGUCUCAACUAUGUACCUCUGACUGGCCUGGGAUUUACCUUGUAGACCAGGCUGGCUGUAAACUCUCAGAGAUCUGCUGUCUCCGGCUGCUUGAGUGCUGGGUUGAAGGUGUGAGCCAGCACAUUUGGUCCCAAUGGUCAGGUUUGAUUUGGGAAACAAUUGUUUAAUUUCAUGAAAGUGGGAUGAAAGGAAGGCGGGGACCCAAGAAUGAUGUGUGUGGGGUAUGCUAGGUGCUCGGGAGAAGGACAGUCACGGGGACACAGAUGGCAAAUCAGACAACUGGGCCACUUCCCUAAGUGUAAAAGAUUUCCUGGGGUGGGGCUGGGGUGAAGGAAAGGGGCCGGUGCCCCCAGCUGCACCUACAGAUUCGGAACUAAUUCAUCUGGGGUGAGGAUGAAUGACAUUUCCCACCUCAAGAGGUGAGAGUCAGCACCACCCGAGUCAGGCAAGCGUCUCGCUUGUAACCAAGGAUAGAUCUGAACUGAUAAUCCUGCUGCUUCCACACCUCCCCUGUGCUGGGACCAUGGGCCUGUGUCACCACGCUUCCCUGCUCACCUCUGUCCCAGUCCCAGGCACUCACCAUCCUGAUGGGCCGGAAGGACAUGAGCCGGUCACUGCGAUAACUGCUGGUCCAGGUGUCCCAGCGUGGGUACUCCCCCUUCUCCAGGACAAACAUCUCCCCAUGGAAGGCAGACUGCUCAAAGGCCACCCAGCUGAACACAAGAAGGACCAAGAGGGACAGAGACGGGAAGGUUAACACAUCAGCAAGUUCCCUCCCCAGCACAGAGGCCCAGGCACCAAAAUGAAAAUCCCAAGUGGGUCCAAUGGGUCUGGGCUUUAUUCUGUGCUAAACCCCUUACUUUCAUAAGUGCCAUCCCCCUCCCAGGCUUCAUCACUUCAUCUACACUAGCAUUUUCUGGAGUUGGCAAAGUAUUAAAUGAGACACUAUUUGUCAUUA